UGGAAGUAAAAGUCGUAACAAGGUCUCCGUUGGUGAACCAGCGGAGGGAUCAUUACCGAGUUUACAACUCCCAAACCCAAUGUGAACCAUACCAAACUGUUGCCUCGGCGGGGUCACGCCCCGGGUGCGUCGCAGCCCCGGAACCAGGCGCCCGCCGGAGGGACCAACCAAACUCUUUCUGUAGUCCCCUCGCGGACGUUAUUUCUUACAGCUCUGAGCAAAAAUUCAAAAUGAAUCAAAACUUUCAACAACGGAUCUCUUGGUUCUGGCAUCGAUGAAGAACGCAGCGAAAUGCGAUAAGUAAUGUGAAUUGCAGAAUUCAGUGAAUCAUCGAAUCUUUGAACGCACAUUGCGCCCGCCAGUAUUCUGGCGGGCAUGCCUGUCCGAGCGUCAUUUCAACCCUCGAACCCCUCCGGGGGGUCGGCGUUGGGGAUCGGGAACCCCUAAGACGGGAUCCCGGCCCCGAAAUACAGUGGCGGUCUCGCCGCAGCCUCUCCUGCGCAGUAGUUUGCACAACUCGCACCGGGAGCGCGGCGCGUCCACGUCCGUAAAACACCCAACUUCUGAAAUGUUGACCUCGGAUCAGGUAGGAAUACCCGCUGAACUUAAGCAUAUCAAUAAG
rnacentral:rRNA from 1 species